GUGAAUCAUCGAAUCUUUGAACGCACAUUGCGCCUCCUCUCACAGGGGGGCAUGCCUGUCUGAGCGUCAUUUAAAUCCAUAACCCCUUCGGGUUGUCUUGGGUAUCGCAUGCAUGCGUAGCCUGAAAGCCAUAGGUCUUGAGCGGACGAGAUCCAUUUGGACUGACCGUUUGGCGACCCUAAACAUUCUCUGACAUGACCUCAGAUCAGGUAGGAUCACCGCCUGAACUUAAGCAUAUCAAUAAGCGGAGGA
rnacentral:misc_RNA from 1 species